rnacentral:rRNA from 1 species
GUGCCAGCCGCCGCGGUAAUACAGAGGCCUCGAGCGUUAAUCGGAGUCACUGGGCUUAAAGGGUGCGUAGGCGGCGCUGCAAGUGCCUUGUGAAAUCCCACGGCUCAACCGUGGAAUUGCUCGGCAGACUGCGGUGCUUGAGGUUGGUAGGGGUCGCUGGAACUCUAGGUGGAGCGGUGAAAUGCGUAGAUAUCUAGAGGAACGCCGAAGGUGAAGACAGGCGACUGGGCCAAUUCUGACGCUGAGGCACGAAAGCGUGGGGAGCGAACGGGAUUAGAAACCCUUGUAGUCC